UACGGAGGGAGCUAGCGUUGUUCGGAAUUACUGGGCGUAAAGCGCGUGUAGGCGGCCAUGCAAGUCGGAUGUGAAAGCCCUCGGCUCAACCGGGGAAGUGCACUCGAAACUGCAAGGCUAGAGUCUCGGAGAGGAUCGUGGAAUUCUCGGUGUAGAGGUGAAAUUCGUAGAUAUUGGGAAGAACACCGGUGGCGAAGGCGGCGCUCUGGACCGAGACUGACGCUGAGGCGCGAAAGCGUGGGGAGCAAACAGG
rnacentral:rRNA from 1 species